GGAGCACGCCGCGUGAGUGAUGAAGGUUUUCGGAUCGUAAAGCUCUGUUGUUAGGGAAGAACAAGUACCGUUCGAAUAGGGCGGUACCUUGACGGUACCUAACCAGAAAGCCACGGCUAACUACGUGCCAGCAGCCGCGGUAAUACGUAGGUGGCAAGCGUUGUCCGGAAUUAUUGGGCGUAAAGGGCUCGCAGGCGGUUUCUUAAGUCUGAUGUGAAAGCCCCCGGCUCAACCGGGGAGGGUCAUUGGAAACUGGGGAACUUGAGUGCAGAAGAGGAGAGUGGAAUUCCACGUGUAGCGGUGAAAUGCGUAGAGAUGUGGAGGAACACCAGUGGCGAAGGCGACUCUCUGGUCUGUAACUGACGCUGAGGAGCGAAAGCGUGGGGAGCGAACAGGAUUAGAUACCCUGGUAGUCCACGCCGUAAACGAUGAGUGCUAAGUGUUAGGGGGUUUCCGCCCCUUAGUGCUGCAGCUAACGCAUUAAGCACUCCGCCUGGGGAGUACGGUCGCAAGACUGAAACUCAAAGAAAUUUGACGGA
rnacentral:rRNA from 2 species